CUCAUCAAUACCGGCGCUGAAGUCUCGUGGUUCUGCAGUUAUUACAAGCCUAUAUCUUUCAUGUAGCACCAUGAGAUUCAGCUCUGGUGUUCGAUACU
rnacentral:pre_miRNA from 1 species